UUGACUACUAAUAUCUCCCCAGGUGAACGCUGUAGAUAUUAUCGAGUGGGUGAAGAACCCCGUGCCAGUGAACGAUUACAGAUCAAGACCGUGCAAGACUGUGCCUCUCACUAUGUGCACGGCGAGGACCUGUGGACCUCUUGUAGGACCCCACAACCAGGUGAGCUACUUGAUUCCGACCUGCAAUGUCUGCCCUGCCAACUACCCCUGGGUGGGUAACCCAUUAGGACGUUAAUAUAACUAUUAAAAGCUUUCCAUAUG